GAAACGGAAUCCCUAAUUUGUUCACUCUCCUUCUUCCCCCUUCAUUCUUCCGCUGCAAUCACGCCGCCGCGCCUCCUCCAAUACCCACCACCACCUCCGGUCUCCGCCUCAUCCCAUCAGCCGCCGCCCCUCACCCUGCUUGAGACUUGUAGAGUUGUAGUUGAAGAUGUCGAUUUCAGAGUCUUCUACCCAAGACAUAGGGAUCCAUGAAAAUAUGCUUGAAGAUAUUGAAGUUGAAGAAUUAGAGGUUUUUUUUAAUAUUUGAACUGUGAAUGGUGGUUGAAUUGAAUAGGUUGUAAACAUUGAUGAUGGAUUGACCUUUUAGUACUAAAUGUCUUUGGAUAAUACUAUAUCUAUAUAUUGUUCCAAGCA